rnacentral:lncRNA from 10 species
GGCGACAGAGCGAGACUCUGUCUCAAAAAAAACAAAACAAAACAAAUACAAGUUACUAUUGGCUAUAGUUACCUUGUUGUAUGAUCAAAUAGUGUAUCUUAUUCUUUAUAACUAUUUUGUUUUGUACCCAUUUAUCAUCUCCACCUCUCCCCUAGCCUGGCACUACCCUUCCCAGCCUCUGGUAACCAUCCUUCUACUCACUAUGUCCAUGAGUUCAAUUGUUUAGAUGUUUAGAUCCCACAAAUAAGUGAGAACAUGUGAUGUUUGUCUUUAUGUGCUUGGCUUAUUUCACUUUAAAUAAUUAUCUUCAGUUCCAUUCAUCUUGUUGCAAAGGACAGAAUCUCAGUCUUUUUAUGGCUGAAUAGUACUCCAUUGUGUAUAUGUACCAUAUUUUCUUUAUCCAUUCCUCUGUUGAUGGGCAUGUAGGUUGCUUCCAAAUUUUGGUUAUUGUGAACAGUGCUGCAACAAACAUGAGAUAGCAGAUAACUCUCCCUUGUACUGAUUUAAUUUCUUUUGUAUGUUUACUUACCAGUAGGAUUGCUGGAUCAUAUGGUAGCUCUGUUUUUAGUUUUUCGAGGAAUCUCCAAACUGUUUUCCAUAGUGGUUGCACUAGUUUACAUUCCCACCAACAGUGUACAAGCCUUCCCUUUUCUCUACAUCCUCAUCAGCAUUUAUUAUCGCCUGUUUUUUGCAUAAAAGCCAUAUUAACUGGGGUCAGAUGAUAGCUCAUUGUAGUUUUUAUUUGCAUUAAGCCUUUUUAGCUGGGGUCAGGUGAUAGCUCAUUGUAGUUUCUAUUUGCAUUUCUCUGAUGAUCAGUGAUGUUCAGCACCUUUCAUAUGCCUGUUUGCCAUUUGUAUGUCUUCUUUUGAGAAAUAUCUAUGCUGAUUUUUAAUCAGAUUAUUAGAUUUUUUUCCUAUAGAGUUAUUUGAGGUCUUUAUAUACUCAGGUUAUUAAUUCUUCUCAGAUAGGUAGUUUGCAAAUGCCAUUUAAUUUUUUUAAAAGCACCAAAAGUGGAAAAAAUAAACGAAGAACAGAUAGACUAUCUUGCAAACAGCCAGUGAAAUAAUAGAUUUAUAUCAAACACUAACAAUACUUACAUUAUCACUUGUUUAAAUUAUUGUUUCAAGACAGAGGUUGUCAUACUGGAUUAAAAAUUAAGGACCAAUAACCAGAUACCACUACAUACCUUUAAGAAUGGCUAAAACCCAAAACACUGAAAAUAACAAAUGCUAGCAAGAGUGUGGAGCAACCAAUAUAUUCAUUCAUCACUGAUGGGGAUGCAAAGUAGUACAGCCACUGUAGAAGACAGUUUGGCAGUUUCUUAGAAAGCUAUAUAUACUUUUACCACAUGAUCCAGUGAUCAUAUUCCUUGGUUAGCUCACACAAACACACAAAAAAAACCCACAACCAAAGACAAACAAACAACAAAAAAACCUUGCACACAAAUAUUUAGAGCAGCUUUAUUCAUGAUUGACAAAACAUUUAAAAAGUAAGAACAAACAAGAUACCAUUAUAAAACUUCAAGAAAACAAGAUACCCUUCAAAAGAUAAAUGUAUAAACAAACUGUAGCACAUCCAUACACCGAAAAAUUAUUCAGCAAUAAAAGGAAAUGAGCUACCAAGUCACAAGAAGACAUAGAGGAAGCUUACAUGCAUGUUACUGAGUAAAAUAAGCCAGUAUGAAAAGAUUGCAUACUACAUAAUUCCAACUACAUGACAUUCUAGAAAAGGCCAAAUUAUAGAGACAGUAAAUAGGUCAUUCGUUGCCAAUGGUUCAGUAAAAAAGAGGAUGAAACAGGUGGAACUCAAGGAAUUUUUUAAGGCAGAGAAAUUGUUCUAUUUGAUGCUGCAAUGAUAGCUACAUGCAAUUAUACCUUUGUAAAAACCCAGAAAUUGUAUAACAGAAAGACUAAAUCCCAAUGUAAACUAUGAACUUUAAUUAAUAAUAUUCUGUCAAUUGCAACAAAUGUGUCACAUUAAUGAAAAAAUGUUAAUAAUAAAGGGGAUUGUGGGGAAGAAGAGGGGAGAGAGGGAUAAUAUGGGUACUCUGUCAUUUUGAAACCGACCCAAUUGUCCCAUAGACAGUUUUUUUUUUUUUUUUUUGGAUAAACAUAGAAGUUGAUUCUUUCAGUCUUAAAACUAGAGAAACUUACAUUUGUCUUAUCUGAGUUUCUUUCAGGGAACUGACAAUCAGUCAGCAUCCCAGACAUUAUCAAGGAGCUGAAACUUAUAAGAUCACUGCAUCUGGACAAUGGUGGGAUGCCAGAUCCCUUGCUUGCCUUGAUGGUUCUGUACUCCUCGCUAAUACCUGUUUUACUGCAUGUAGCUACAUCCCUUCUCUGCAAUAUAAAUCCCCAAUUUUAGUCGGUCAGGGAAACAGAUUUGAGACUGAUCUCCUGUUCUCCUCGGCUACAGCACCCAGGAAUAAAGCCUUCUUUCCUGGUAAUACUCAUUGUUUCAGUAAUUGACUUUUCUUGCUGUGAGCAACAGGACCUAAAAUGAAUCCAUUUCAGUAAAAAUUUCUGCUUAUUUUUUCUUUAAAUCUUAAACUUCUCUAAAAAUAGUCUAUUAAUUUUAAAAGGUAAUAUUUAUCUAUUUGCUAGUUACAAGAAACUUAGAUUGAAUGUGAUGGCACGGAUAAGAUUAAAACAAAUGUAAACACUAAUCAACAGAAAGCUGGUGUGACUCUUAAUAACAGAAAAGUUGAAGUGAAAACAAAAUAUAUUAUCAGAAAUUAAAGAAGGCCAUUGUGUAGCAAUAAAAUGUUUAAUUCAGCAAGAUGACAUGACAACUCCAAAGGGGUAUGUACCUAGCAAUAGAACUUAAAAAUGCACAAAGCAAAAGUAGAUAAAACUGAAAGGAAGAAGAGGCAGAUUCACAAUUAUAGCUGGAAACAUCAACACUCUUCAGCACUACAUAUUCAGUAAUCAAUAGAACAAACAAAGAAACAGAAAAUUGGUAAGAAUGUAGGAGACUGAAUAUCACAAGGAAUGUGAAUUAUUUCACAUUUACAGAACACUCCAUCAAAUAACAGCAAAAUACUCAUUUUUUUCCACUGCACAUAAAAAAUUCACCAUGAUGGACCAUAUUUUGGGCCAGAGAUUGGCAAACUUCUGUAUAAAAGGUAAAAUAAUAAAUAUCUUAGGGGGUUUUUGAUCUACACAGCCUCUCACCACAACUCAUCUGUUGUCGUGUGAAAACCCUUGAGAAUAGAGAAACAGUUUGGUAUUUUUUUUUUCUGGCCAAAUUGAAUAGAUAACAUUCUACUCAAUAAUCUCACUCUGCCCUAGGUAUUUACUCAUGUGAAAUAAAAACUUAGGUACACACAAAACCUGGUACCUGAAUGUUUAUAGUAGUUUCAUUUGUAAUCGCCAAAAUCUGACGACAAUCCAAAUAUCUCACAGCGAGGGAGAAGGUAAACAAGCUGGUAUAUCUACACAAUGGAAUGCUGUCAAUCAAUCAAAAAGGAAGAGACUAUUUUUGGGUGCAACUACAUAGAUGAAUCACAAAUGAGCUAUACUAAAACAAAAAGAUUCAGUUUAAAAAUGCUAUAUAUUGUAUGAUUCCAUUUAUAUAACAUUCUGGAAAAGACAACAUUUGAAGGAUUAAUGUUAUAUUAAUGGUUGCAAAAGGCUAGGACUGGGCGAAAGGUUAACCACAAAGUGCCAAGGAGACCAUUUGGGCAAUAAUAGGAUUGUCUUAUAUUGUUGCUGUGAUGGUGAGUGCAUUAAUUACUGAUUUUUAAACUCAUAAAACUGUACACUAUCUAUCAGUAAACUUUACAGAUAAAUGUUAUGUUAGAUUCUACAGAGUCCCUGAAGGUAACAUGGGGGCUACCACUGUGUGAGGAUACUGUGACACUCUUGCACCUGUUUUAUGAAUUAAGGGUUUUUUAAAAAAACUAUUUGAGUGGUACAGUUUAUAUCAUUAUGUACAAGAUCUAGUUUAGAUGAAAGAAGAAAUAUCAUCUCAUCUUAGAGGAUUCUGGCUCUCACUACCCUCAAGAAUAUUCCAAGUAAUUUUCUAUAAGACACUGCAUUUUCUUCGCCUUUGUCACUUCUUGCCUGCACUAUUAACCGAUCUCCUCUUCUUUUCAGUGAAUUUGCCAAUAAUAUUUCAUUCAAAUUCAUCCCACAUAAGUAGUAGAUUUAAAAUGAAAACUUGAUGAAUAUCAUUGAAAGCACCUGACUGUUUCACUGAAUUCUGAAGCAUGAAUUCUUGAGAUUUUCUGAAGGUGUGUCAGGGGCUGCCACCCGGAGUGAACAUAAAGCAAAUUGUACCUUCCUCCUCCCCUGAAUGCACUAAUUUCAACAAGGAAAUUCUUCUUUUAUUUGUUUUAUAAAUUUAAAUUCCACCUCAGAUUACUUACAUACAAUAAGUUCUACUUUCAGAAACAGUUUUAAAACCCCAAACUCUCCUGAUAAAAACGUCUUCUUAACGUGGCAAAAAAGUGCAACGGUUGUUCUAUCUGGUCUUCUUCAACACUGCAUUUACCAUUUCUUGCCCUAGUCUUCCCGUAGCAUGAUUAAACAGUCAUGCUCUCCAUAAGCUCUGUGCCUUGCUCAUUGAAGCCUAUCAUCCCAGAAUGUUCUUUAUCCUUUCAUUUGCUUGGAUAACUUUUGUUCAUACAUACAGAUUCAUUUUUAGAGGUAAGUGUAAGGAAAUUCCUUGACAUUCCAGGCUGGAUUAUUUAUUCCUUCUCAUAUUUUCAUUUUACAUAUUGCUGUAAGCACAUUUUCACAUUUUAUUAUAUUGCUUUUUAUGUGACUCAGAACUCAGCCUUUGAGUCUCUUUUGAUCUCUUCCCUUCCUGUCCACACACACUCCCUUUAGUGACCUCAUCCAGUUUUUUUGACUUUAUAUAUUACCUAUAUGCUUAUGAUUCAUAAAAUUAUCUCCAACUUUGAUAUCUCCACUGAAAUAAAGACUUCUUUAAUAAAUUUCCAACUUAAAAUUCCUAAUUGACUAUCUAAUAGGUAUCUCAAUCUUGACUUUUUCAAACUGAACUUCUUAAUAUCUCCCACCCCAAAACUAUUGUUUCUGAAUUAUUUCACUUUUUUGCUAACAACAAUAGCCUUAGUCCAGUUGUCAACCAAAACCUAUGAACUCAUUCUUGAAUCUUCUUCUUUAACAAUCAAUAUCGAUAUGUAAAAUAACCCUUUUAGCUUUAUUAUCAAAAUAUACUCAUAUCAUUCCAGUUCUACUAUUGCAUUGCAAACACCUUAGAGACCAAUCCUCCAGCUAAUGACAAGCAUAACUACACAAAAUUCAAAAGAAAAAGCAACUAUCUGAAAACAGUGGCGCAAAUGAAAAACCUGCCUAUUGGCAGAUUGUUAGAGGGAAAUCAAAAUGUGGAAAUCUUGCUAAAUGGGGUUCAUUACUUUUCAACACUUUUGGCUUCAUCACAAAGGCUUUCCUCAGUAAUGGAGAAAAGCAGCCUUAGCAGCUAGAACUCCAAGACCUCAAGAGGAAAAAGCAGAAAACACCGUGGAGAAAAAUUAAAGAUAACUUAAGUAAGUGGACAGAUGCAUUGUAUAAGAGUGUUAAAAGAGUCACUUACGUUAAAAUUGUAAUUCUCACUGAAAUAACUUACAGAUUCACUAAAAUUUCUAUCAUAAUUCUAACACGUGUUUUGUAGAAUUUGACAAGGAUAUGGUAAUAUUUAUACAGUAAUACAAACAACCUUUAAUAACCAAUGCAAAUGUUUUGAAUAAAAAAUUAGAAUGGCACACUAUGUCAACUUUAAGAAUCAAUAUAAAGCUAUAAUAAUGAUGAUAGUUUGGCAAUGGUUCAGAAAUGGCUCCAUAUCAUGGUCAAAUGAUUUAUUCUACCAUUAUUAUUUUAACUCUUCAUUUUGUGAUAUUAAAUUCAUAUGCAGUUGUAAGAAAUAAUACAGACAGGUCCCACUGAGUAAAAGAGAUCCUUUACCCAAUGGUAGCAUCUUGGGUAAGUUGUCUGCUGAUUUUCUAUGUUAUAAUUUUAUCUAUUACUGAGGUAGGGUGUAAAAAUCUUUGAUAUGGUUUGGCUGUGUCCCCACCCAAAUCUCACCUUGAAUUGUAGUUCCCAUAAUUCCCACGUGUUGUGGGAGGCACCCGGUGGAACAUAAUUGAAUCAUGGGGACAGUUUCCCCCAUACUGUUCUUGUGGAAGUGAAUAAGUCUCACGAUAUCUGAUUAUUUUAUAAAGAUUUUCCCCUUUCACUUGAUUCAUUCAUUCUCUCUUGUCUGCCGCCAUGUAAGACAUGUCUUUUACCUUCUGCCAUGAUUGUGAGGCCUCCCUAGCCACAUGGAACUGUGGGUCCAUUAAACCUCUUUUCCUUUAUAAAUUACCCAGUCUCAGGUAUGUCUUUAUCAGCAGUGUGAAAACGGACUGAUACAGUCUUUAGCUUAAAUUGUGUAUUUGCCUAUUUCUCCUUUCACUUAUACUAGUCUUACUUCAAAUAUUUUGCAUGGUGCAUGGAUAUUGAAGAUUAAUAUGUUUUGUUGGAAUGACCAUUUUAUAAUUAUACAAUGUCCCUCUCUGUCUCUAGUUAUUGACUGAGAUAUAGAUCUGGAGUCUUAUUUACCAGAUAUUUUUCAUUUCUGAAACUUUGCGUAAUAUAAUUUUUUUCUUUUUUUACAUUUACUACAUCUAUAUUUUUAUAGUUUAUCUGAGUUUCUUAAAAACAGCAUAUAGGUAAUUUUAAAAGAUAAUUUCUGUUUAAUAUAGUUACCAAUAUGUCAGAUAUUUUACUUUUGUUUUGUGUUUUUCCUUCCCCAGUGAUUUUACUGUUUGCUUUUCUCUACCUUUCUAUGGGUUACUUGCCCUUUUUCAGAAUUUCAUUUUAAUUUGUCCAUAGUGUCAUUGAGUGUAUGUGAUGUAAACCUUUCUUACUGGUUAUUAUAUAUAUAUAACAUUUUAUGUACAUAACUUAUCAUAGUCAAUUGGUGUCAUUAUUUUGCCAGUUAAAGUAAAAUGUAGAAUCUGUAGCACAAUUUAUGCUCCUCCACCACCACCCAUUUACAAUAUAAUUGUCUUAAAUAUUUUUCCACAUAAACUUAGAAUCACAUCAGAAGGUAUUAUAAUUUUAGCUUCUAGCAUCAAACAUAAUUUAGAAAAUUUAAGAAGAGAAGAAAAAUGUAUUGUCUUUGCCAAUAUUUUAUAACAAUUAGAAAACUUCCUUUAGCCAUAUCCUUAGGACAGAUCUGCCGGUGACAAGUCCUCUUAGUCUUUCUUUAUUCCAAAAUAUCUUGAUUUGUCCUUCAGUCUUGAAAUAUAUUUUUAGUAGACAUAGAAUUCGGGGUUGACAGAACCUUUUUUCAGCUCUUAAAAAAUAUCAGGCCUCUUCUCCUCGCUGACCUGGUUUCUCAUGAUAAACCCGCUGUUAUUCAAUUUGUUUUUACCUUCAUGUACAGUGUCGAAUUUCUUGCUGCUUCCAAGUUAUUUUCUUCAUCCUGAGUUUUCAGAAGCUUGACUAUAAUGUGUCUUGGUGUGUACAGUUUGUAGUUUAUUCUGUUUGUGAUACAAACUAAUCCAAGAAGCAAAGUAGUUUCUUGGAUCUGUUAGCUUACACCGUUUCCCAAAUUUGGGAAGAUUUUAGCCAUUAUCUCUUAGAGUAAUUUUUCAAUCUUAUCCUUUUUCUUGUCUCCUGGAACUCAAGAGACACAAAUGUUAGCUCUUUUGAGAUAUAGUCUAAAGUUUCCUCAGGCACUGUUUAUUUUUUAAAAUGUAUUUUCUCUGUUUUGUCGAUUGUGUAAUUUUUAUUGUUCUCUCUUAAGAUUCAAAAAUUAUUCAUUCUAUCCCUUCUGUUCUUCUAUUAGAACCACCUUUUGCAAUUUAAUUUUCAUUAUUGUAGUUUUAUGUUCUAAAAUUUUUAUUUGAUUCCACUCUAUACCUCCUAUUUCUUUGCUAAGACUUUCUAUUUUAUUGCUGAGUUAAAAAAAUAUUUCCUGUAUGUUUGUAACUUCUGGGUGAAGCAAUUUUAUGAUGACUGCUUUAAAAUCUCUGUCAGAGAAUAAUUUCUGCCAUCUCAGUUUUAAGUAUUGAUUUUUUAAAAAUCAAGUUCAGAUUUUUGAGUUCUUAGUAACAUGAGGGACUUCCUACUGAAACCCGGACAACUUGAGUAUUAUGUUAUGAGAUCUUGACUCUUCCUUCAAUUUUCUGUCUUAGCUGUCUUCCUUUAACAUGACUCCAGUAAGGAGAGAAAGGCAUGCCUCAUUAUCGUUGAAUGAAUGAAUAAGUCCAGGCACCUCACAUGAUUUCCACUGACACUGCAGGGCAGGGGAUGGAAGGUGACAAUGGGAGGAUGAAAAGAGAAGCAGGCUGAGGGAGAGAUACUUCGUUACCAACCAGUGGAGAUAAAAGUCUCCACCCUCUAUUCAGCCAUCUUUGGUGCCACAGCUUUACUUUGAGGAGAACUGAUGAGUGUCCUUACAGCUGGACACGUGUUGGAAGUCCAGGCUCUCCACUCAGUCUUUGCUGGGAUUGGUGAAAGUAGGGCAGAAAUUUCUUUUUUUUAAUUUUUCAUUUUUUUGCUAGUGUUUAGGAAUAGUAGCUAUUACUAUAUGAAAGUGUUCCGCCUUCCUCUUAAUAGAAUGCUGCUUUCCUGGUCCUAUGGCUAGAGAAAAGGCUUUGUAGAUGUUUUCUUUUCUAUGCCUGCUGAUGCUUUUAAGCUACCACCUUCAACAGUUUUAUUACUGGAAUACAUAACAUAAAAAGAAAACCCAGGAAACUGACCACACCAUUGCACAGAUUGUGAGGUCCUUAGGUCAUGACUUAUUUUAUCUACCUUUUAGUGUCCUUCAAUGAUUGUUAUAUGUAAAAUGUCCAAGCUUUUCAUUGUGUAUAGCAGGAGAAAUAGGAAAAAAAUGUCUACUCCAUUUUUCCACAAAUGUAAGAGGUCUGUUGAUUUUUGUAAAAUUGCCAAGACAAUUCAAUAAAUUUCAUUGCAUUACACAAAUAUUUCAUAUCAAAUAUAUAAUAUAUAUGCACAGUAAUAUAUAUACAUAAUUUACAGAGAACCUUUCAUAUAUUUUAUUUCUACAUUUCAUAUUAAUCUGCAACAUUGUUAUUAUAGUUUAAAUUGUUUUCUAUUAAAUAAGUUUUUGGAAAAAAUGAAAUAAACUCUUUUAUAUGUACAUACAUAUUAAAUAUUUUAAUGCUAUUUAUUCCUUUCUGUAAAUAAGAGUUUCCAUCUGGGAUCACUUUACUGUAACCUGUAGAACUGUCUUUGCAACUUCUUGUAAUGCUAGUCUGGAAAUGGAUCCUAUUUUAGCAUUUGUUUACCUAAAAAUGUUUUCAUUUUGUAUUCAUUUUUAAAGAAUAUCUUCACUGGACAUAGAAUAACAGGUUGACAUUUGGUUUUAUUUUCAGCUCCUACAAAUGUUGCUACAUUUUUAUUCUGGCAUGCAUUGUUUUUCUUGCUAAAUCAAUGGCUAUUUCUAUUUUUACACCUGUAUAUGGAUUGUCCUCAUUUUUUUCUUUUAGUUGUUUUUAAAAUUUUAUUUUACAAUUUUCUUUUGAUGUUUGUUUGUUUGUUUGUUUGUUUGUUUUUGAGAUGGAGUCUUGCUGCAAUGCCCAGGCUGGAGUGCAAUGUGAGAUCUUGGCUCACUGCAACCUCUGCUUCCAAAUUCAAGUGAUUCCUCUGCCUCAGCUUCCCAAAUAGCUGGGAAUACAGGCACGCUCCACCACACCCAGCUAAUUUUGUAUUUUUAGUAGAGAUAGGGUUACACCAUAUUGGCCAGGCUGGUCUCGAACUGCUGACCUCAAGUGAUAUGCCUGACUAGGCCUCCCAAAGUGCUGGAAUUACAGGCGUGAGUCACUGUCCCCGGCCAAUUUAUAGCUUUCUAUCAGUGAUUUGGUCAUAGCUUUGGGUAGAUUUUUUGAACUUCCCAGACAUGAGAAGAACUAAUUUUUGUAUAAAUACUUUAAACCCAUUCUUUUUUGAGGGGAAUUAAAUUAGACCUAUGUUAGAUUACUUGAAAUUUUCUCAUAGUAUUGAGAAUUUGUUCAUCAUUUAGCAUUUUAUUCUAUCAGUGAUUUAGUUUAUGUAUUUUCUCUUUCUAUGUCUUCAAGGUUACUGACUUUUACUUUGAUAUUGCUGAAUCUACUUUAAAGUUCAUCCUGAGUAUGCUUGCACUUUACAGCCCUAGAAGUUUCAUUUACAUAUCCUUCAUGUCUUCCUUUAUACUAUUCAUGUUUUCCUUUAAUUUAUUACACAUAAUUAUACCUCCUUAUAGUUCUUAUUUGGUAACACUACUAUUUCUGAUUUUUGAAGCUUUGGGUUUUGUUUUCUUUUUACUAGUGGUAGGACAUUUUCCUACUUCUUUGCAUGUCUCGUGUUUCUUUUAUUUGAUGCUGAAUAAUGUUAAUACUGUUUUUAAAUAUAUUUUAUUGUUUUUCUUCCGAUAGUGUUAGACGUUAUUUUGGCUGGCAGUUAAAUUACAUUCUAACCAGCUCGAUUCUUUUAAAAACUUGUUAAUGAAAGUCUAGAAUAGCCUUUACUGUAAGAUUAAUGUAUCCAUACUAACAAGAUUUGAUCAUUCUAGAGCCUCUUUUGAAAAUUGCAGAUGUUUUAUGGGUUGUUUCCUGCUAGGUGUGACCUGUAGUUUAUCACAGAUCCAUGUUAGGUAUUUUUAGGCUUACAAUUCCCCUGUCAUUGUUUUUACUCCAGAGAUCAUUCUUUAUGCAGUCUGAAAAGUGACUCCUGGUCAGAAUAAUUGCAGGAAUCAACUCAUUUCCGAUUCUACUCUCAGAGAACACGGUCUCCGUUCUGUGAUGUUUGAAAUAAUUAUUUAAUAUAUUUUGUCCUGUUUUCUAGUUAUUUAUUAUAAAGGCAAGUUCAAGGUUCACUUAUUCUGAUAUCUCUUUAAAUGGAAGUUUAUUGUGUCUGAUUGCAUCACUAUUCAAUAUAUUUAUUUUUCUUCUUUUGUUUGUCUUUUUCUCCUACCACAAUUUCAGCUCUAUGAGGGCAGCAUUUUUUUCUUCCUCUACUAGAAAAGUUGCUAGCACAUUGGAGUCACAUUAUAAAUAUUUGUUUUUGAUGAAGCUGCUUACUGUUUUGGGGGAACAGCACUGUCAGCUAAUUAACUAAAGAUUCCUCAUGAUCCCACUAAAGUACUGUGAUCUGGCAUCAUUUCUAGGUGGCUGAUGCCCAAACCCUUUUGCUGUUAAAUAUUUAGACUUUUACUUCUGAUUUCCUUCUUUGUAAAGGGAAGAAUAAUGAUUUCAAUAUUCCAAAAACAAAUGAAUACCAAUUACCAUUUGGUAUAUUUUCUUAGCUCUUAUUGACUCCUAUUUUUAAAAGAUGCUGCUGUUACGUCAUUGUCAGAAUGAUUCAUUUCCCUUGGCCUUGCUUUAAAUAUAACUGAAAACCUUCGUCACUAGGUGAAAUAUCUGCAAACUUUGAAUUUCUAACAGCUAUUUCCAGUUAUACCUACCACCACCUUCCCCCAACUCCAAAACACACAAAUGUCUUUGCUGAAAACUCUCAUCUGUCACUCUUGGUUAAGAAGCAACAGCUUUUAUAAUUCUGUCUCUAUGCAGAUUCCCUCUUUCCCUCUAUAAAUAUAGCAACAAAACUUUUCUAAUUGAUGUGUUUAUGUAUUUAUCAUUAUUCUUCUUCUGGUUGUCUUGGAAACAAAGGCAGAGAAUAUCAGUAUUUACGUCAGCUUAGGAAUUUCUGUUGAAGAGGGAAGAUAGAGACAAUAAAAUAGGCUUCAGUUGGGCAGAGGUGGCUUCACUUUCACUUUCUUCAAAUUGGAAACAUGUAGCACAAGUCUUCCUUGAUUAUUUUCUUGCAGCCAUAAGUCUCUUAAAAUUUGUGAAUACUGGCCAUCAAUUUACUCCUAGUUGGCGAUUGGUCUUUUCAUUAUUUUAAAAGUGUUUCUUAAUUAAUAGAAGUUUCUUUUUCUAUUUUUUUCUUGAGACAGGGUCUUGCUCUAUCACUCAGGCUGGAGUGCAGUGGUGCAAUCUCGGCUCACUGUAGCCUCAACCUUCUGAUCUCAAGCAAUCACCUCACAGUAGCCCUCCACAUAGCUGGGACUACAGAUGUGCACCACCAUGCCCGGCUAAUUUUUGUAUUUUUGUAGAGAUGGGGUUUUGCCAUGUUGCCCAGGCUGGUCUUGAACUCUUGAAUCCAGGAGAUCCACCCUCUUUGGCCUCCCAAAAUGCUGGGAUUACAGGCAUGAGCAAUCAUGCCAAGCCAAAGUGUUUCCUAUAAAUCAUUUCUAGUUUCCAAAUUACUUUUCCUUUAGGUUUGGUCUUUUGUGUUCAUGGUUAUCCCAAGAUCGUGAAGAUAUUAUUAUUAAUUUUCUCCUACAAGCCUUUAGGUUUUAUAUUUAAUGCUUACAUCUAAUAUCCAACUCAAGUUAUUGAUAAAACUCAAGAUUUAUGUCUAUUUUUAUAUAAACUGAUACAUUUAUUGAAAAGCUCAUUCCCAUUGAAUUGCAUUACUGUUAUAAAAUAAGUGACCCUUUACAUGAAUGUCAAAGUCUGGUCUUCGUUGUAUUCCAUUAAUCUAUUUGUCUAUUGUUGUAUCAAUCUACUAAGUGAGACUUUAGAGCUAGUAUUGAAAUCUAAGUGUGUAAUUCAUUCUAAGUUUUUCUUUCGUUUCCCUUCUCCAAGUCCUUGACAUUUUUAUACGAGUGCUGCAAUAAACUCAUCAAUUUUACAAUAAAACCUGCUAGAAUUCGACUAGAAUUAUGCUGAGUCAAUAUAUUUUUUGAAACUCUAUAUCUUAACAAUAUAGAGUUCUUCAAUCAAUAAACAUGACAUAUCUAUUUUGGUCUUAAAAUUUUCUUCCAUGUUUUGAUGAAUUAUUUAAGGUUUAUUGAGAUAUAAUUAACACAUAACAAUGUAUAUAUUUAAGAUGUACAACUUGUUGUUUUGGUAAGUGUGUAUAUUGUAAAAUAAUCACCACAAUCAGGCUAUUUAACAUACCCAUCAUUUCAUAUAGUUACCAUUUUCUUUUUUCUUUUUGUUUUUUUUGAUGGAACAUUUAAAAUCUACCCUCCCAUUUAGCAUCUACACUCCUAGCAAAUUUCAAACACAUACAGUGAAUAUUGUUAAUUACUGUGACGUUACUGUACCUGAGCUCUCAAGAACUUCCUACUGCAUACCUGAAAUUUUAUACGUUUUGACAAAUAUCUUCCUUCCUCCUCCCCAAAGUUGUUAACAACCACUAUUCUACUCUGUUUCUAUGAAUUUAACUAGUUUAAAUUCCACAUACGAGUGAGAUCAUACAUAACUUAUCUUCUUGUGCAUGAGAUAUUUCAUUUAGCAUAAUAUCAUUCAGGUUCAUCCAAGUUGUCACAAAUGCCAUGAUCUCCUUUUUUAAGGCUGAAUAAUAUUCCAUUGUAUGUAUGUAUAUACACCACAUUUUCUUUAUCAAGUUUUUUCAUCUAUUAAGAUCUAGGUUGUUAUUGUACUUUGGGUGUUGUGAAUAAUAUGGUAAUGAACACAGAAUUGCAGGCAUUUUCUUGAGAUAUUUUAUUUCCUUUAAAUAUAUACAGUUAGAUUGCUAGAUCAUAUGGGAGUUUUACUUUUAAUUUUUAAAGAAAAUUUUAAUUUUUGAAGAAAAUUCUGUACUGUUUUCCAUAAUAGCAAUAACAAUGUAAAUUCACCAAAACAGCACAUGUUUUCUUCAUGUCUUGGUAAUACUUGUUAUCUUUUGUCUUUUGAUAAUUUUCAUUCUAACAGGUAUGGGGUAAUAUCACAUUGUGCUUUUAAUUUUUACUUCAUGUUGAUAAGGAUAUUGAGCACGUUUAUAUACACCUGUUGGCCAUUUCUAUGACUUGUUUUGAUAAAUAUAUAUUCAAGACCUAGGCCCAUUUUAAAAUAAUAUUAUUUUAUUUUUUCUUGUUGUUAUUGAAUUCUUUACAUAUUUUAAUAUAUAAGGAUAUUAAUCUCUUACUGGAUAUAUGAUUUACAAAUAUUUUCUCUCUUUCUGUAGAUUGUCUUUUUCCUCUAAUUGUUUCCUUUGUUGAGCAGCUGCUGUGCAGUUUAGUGCCAUACCACUUGUCUAAUUUUGCUUUUGUUCCCUGUGGUUUUGAAGUCACAUCCCCAAAAUUACUAUCUAGACCAUUGUUAAGAUGUUCUUCCCUGUUCUUCUGUCUUAUGUUUGUCUUUUAUUCAAUUUGAGUUAAUUUUUCUAUAUGGUGUGUGAUAAAUGUUUCAUCUUAUUCUUCUACAUGUGGAUAUCUAGAUUUCCUAGCAUCACUUAAGAGACUAUCCUUUUUUCAUUGCAUGUUUCGAUAUGAUACUUUUGCAAAGAUCAAUUGACUGUAGAUGCAUAGAUUUAUUUCUGGGCUCCGUUUUCUGUUCCAUUAGUUUAUGUGUCUGUUUUUAUGUCAGUACAAUACAGUUGUGAUUACCAUAGCCUUACAAUAUCUUUUGAAAUCUGUAACUGUGAUGCUUCCAGCUUUACUCUUCGUGCUCAGGAUUGCGUUGGAUAUUUGAGGUGUUCUGUACUUCCACAUGAAUUUUAAGACAUUUUUCUGUAAAGAUAGCUAUUGGUAAUAUGAUAGAGACUGUAUUGAAUCUGCAGAUGACUUUGGGUAAUGUGGACAUUUUAUAUUAUCAACUCUUUAAAUCUAUGAACACAAGUUGUCCUUCCGUUUAUCUGUGACUUCUUUAAUUUUCAUCAACAAUGUUCUAUAAUUUGCAGUGUACAUAUCUUUUACCACUUUGGUUCAGUUUAUUCCUAAGUAUUUCAUUCAUUUUGUUGCUAUUGUAAAUGAAAUUGUUUUUGUUUUAAUUUGCUUGUUGGAUUGUGUGAUGUUUUUGUAAAGAAACAUCAUUGACGUUUCCAUGUAAUUUUGUACCUUGCAAGUUUACUGAAUGUGUUUCUAACAGGUUGAAUGUACUCUAACAGGAUUUUGUUGUUGUUUUGUUUUCGUUGUUGACCCUUUAGAUUUUUCUACAUAUAUGAUUAUACAAUCUGCGUAAGGAGAAUAUUUUACUUCUUCCUCUUAGAUUUGGAUGACUUUUAAUUCUUUUUUUUCCAUCUAAUUGCUUUAGCUACAAAUUCCAUACUACGUUGACUAGAAAGUGGUAAGAGCAGGCAGACUUACCUUGUGCAGAAACUUAGAGUAAAUGCUUUCAUUUUAUACCUAGAAUGAGAGUUGUAGGCUCUUCAUAAGUAACCUAUGUUGUGUGGAGGUAAGUACCUUGUCUAUCUAUUGUUUUCAGAGGUUUAAUCAUGAAUAAAUUAAUUUUGCCAAAUGCUUUUCCUACACCUACUGAAAUUAUUAUGUGGUUUUUAUUUUUAGUUUUCUUAAUGUGGUAUAUCACAUUGAUUGAUUUGCAAAUGUUGAAACAUCAUUGCAUCCCAGCAAUCAAUCCUACAUGGUCAUGGUGUAACAACCUUUUAAUGUGCUGUUGAAUUCAGUUUGCUGCAUUUUAUUGAAUAUUUUGAAUCUAUGUUCACCAAAAACAUUGGUCUAUAGUUUUGACAGUUUGUUUGUUUGUGCUGUCUUUGUCUGACUUUGGUAACUGGGUAAUACCGGCCCCAUAAAAUGAGUUCAGAAGUGUUCUUUCUUCUACUUUCUGGAAAAGUUGAAGAGGACUGGUAUUAACUUUUAUGUGGAUUUUUGGUAGAAUUCACUUGUGAAGCCAUCAGGACCUAAAUUUUUCUUUUUGGGGAGGUUUUUAAUUACCUACUAAAUUUCCUUGUUAUCUGAACAGGCUAUAUUUCUUCUUGAUUCAUUUUAAUCAGGUUUUAUGUCCAUAGGCAUUUAUCCAUUUCGUUCAAAAUAUCCAGUUUGUUUUUAUAUAAUUGUUCAUAGUAAUCUCUUGUGAUUCUUUUCAUUUCUGAGGCAUCCAUUGUAAUAUCUCCUCUUUCAUAUCUAUUUUUAUUUGUCUUCUCUCUUUUUUCUUAGGUGGUCUAGCUAAGCAUUUAUAUUUUUAAAAAAAUUUUCCAAGAACCAACUCUAAAAGCAAUUGAUUCUUUUAUAUUAUUUUUAAAUCUACUUUUGACUUAUUUCUUCCUUAAUUAUUUCCUUUCUUCUGCUAACUUGGUACUUAGUGUUAUUUUUUUCUUACUCUUUUUCUUUCAGAUACAAAUUUGGAUUUUUAUUUAAGAUUUUUCUUUUUUAUUGUAAUAAAUUUUAGCUAUAAACUUUUUAAUAUAUCUGUUGCUGCAUCUCAUAAAUUUAAUAGGAUACAUUUUCAUUUUCAUUUGGCUGGAGCUAUUUUUUAAUUUCCUUUGGAUUUUCUCUUUGACCCAAUGAUUGCUUAAGAACGUAUUGCUGGCCAGGAGCGGUGGCUCAUGCCUGUAAUCACAGCACUUUGGGAGGCUGAAAUGGGUGGAUCAUGAAGUCAGGAGUUUGAGACCAGCCUGGCCAACAUAGUGAAAUCCCAUCUCUACUAAAAAUACAAAAAAGUAGCCGGGCAUGGUGGCACACGCCUAUAGUCCCAGCUACCUGGGAGGCUGAGGCAGGAUAAUUGCUGGAACCCAGGAGGCAGAGGUUACAGUGAGCCAAGAUGGUGCCACUGCACACCAGCCUGGGUGGCAAAGUGAGACUCCAUCGUAAAAUAUAUACAUAUAUAUAUAUAUAUAUAUAUAUGGCUUAAUUUCAAUGUAUUGUGAAUUUAUCGUUUUUUUUCUGUUAUAGAUUUCUAGUUUCAUUUCAUUGUGAUUAGGAUAAAUGCUUGGAAUCAUUCUGAUCUGAAGUUUGUUAAGGCUUGUAUUGUAAACUAACAUAUGAUCUAUUCUGAGUAAUGUUCCAUAUGCACUUGAGAAGAAUGUGUAUUCUUCUGUAGAUGGCUGGAAAGUUCCGUAUAUGUGUGCUAAGUCCAUUCAAUCUAGAGGCUAAGUCAGCUGUUUAUUAAUUUCUAUCCGUAUAUUCUAUUCAUUAUUGAAAGCAGGAUAUAGAAGUCUCCUAGUAUUAUUGUAUUCUUGUCAAUUUCUCUCAUCCAAUCUGUCAAUAUUUACUUCACAUGUCUAGGUGCUUUAAUGUGGAGUGCAUAUACAUUUAUAAUUGUUACACCUUCCUGUGAAUUGACCCUUUUGUCCUUAUAUAAUGACUUUUUGCUCUAGAAACAAUUUUUGAGUUAACAUCUAUUUUUUUUCUGGUAUAAGGAUAGCCACUCUGCUUUCUAUUGGUUACCAUUUACAUGAAAUAUCUUUUUCUAGCCCUUUACUCUUACCCUAUGUAGGUCUUUAAGUCUAAAAUGAGUGUCUUCUGGACAGCAUAUAACUAGGUCUUUUAUUUUAUGUUUUUAAACCAUUCAGAAACUCUAUGGUUUUUGAUUGAAACAUUUAAUCUUUUUAUAGUUAAAAUAAUUAUUGAUGAUGAGAAAUUAUUAUUGACAUUUGGUUUAUUGUUUUUGUUUGUUUCACAGUUGUUUUGUUCCUCUAUUCACUUGCCUUCUUUUUUUACUUGCUAAUGUUUGUACUGAUUUGCUUUGGUUCUUUUCCCUUCAUUUUGUGUCUUUGUGUUCAGUUUUUUUUUCUUUGUAGUUACCUCUAGGCUUGCAUAAAAUAUCUUGUAGUUAUGACUCUCUAUUGUAGGUUGAUAAUAACUCAGUUUCAAUCACAGGAAAAAACUUUACACUUUUACUCUCUUCCAUCCUUCCACAUGUAAAUUGUAUGUUCUUGUAGUCAGAGUUGACUUCUUUUUAUAUUGUGUUACCAGUAACAAACUUAUCUUUCAACUUUUAUAGUAGCAUUAUAAAAGUAAUUUAUGCACCACCAUUAGUGUUACAUUAUUGUGUAUUUGCUUAUAUAGUUAUCUUUACCAGUGAGAUUCAUGCUUUCAUAGAAUUCCAGUUUUAUGGAUAUUAUAGGUGACAUGUAAUUUUCUCUUGGGCUUUCAAAAUUCUCUUUGUCUUUCAAUUUUUAAAACUUAAUGAUAAUGAUAAUGCAUUUUAGUGUGGACCUUUUUUUUGUUCAACCUGUUUGUUUCCACUGGGCUUCUUAAUAUGAAUAUCUGUUUAUUUCCUCAGAUUUGAGUAAUUUUCUGUCAUUAUUCCUUUAAAUAAUUUUUCUGACCUGCUCCCUUUCUCUUUUUAUUCUGAAACUUCCUCAGUGUGUCAGUAGGUACCUUGAUGGUGUUCCGUUAGGCCUGUAAACUUUCUUCAUUAGUUUUUAUUAGUUUUACUGUUUUUCUGCUCUGGCUAGGUAACAUUAAAUGCCCUGUCUUUGAAUUUGCUGAUACUUUCUUCUGCUUGAUCAUUCUGUAGUUGAAGCUCUCUUUUGCACUUUUUCUUUUAUUCAUUGUGUUCUUCAGCUCCAGAAUUUAUUUGGUUCUUUCUUAUAACUUCUAUCUUUUGGCUUAAUUUCUGUUUUUGUUCAUAUAUUAUUUUCUGAUUUUAUUGAAUUGCCUAUGUGUGUUUACUCGUAUCUGGAUGAGCCACUUUUAAACCAUACAUACAAAAAAUUACUUGAAUUCUUCUUAGGCAAUAUUUAUGUUUCCAUUUCUAUGUGUUUUAUUAUUGGAAAUGUAUGUUUUAUAUUGUUGAUGUCAUGUUUUCCUGACUUUUUUGUUCUUUGUAGAAUUGCAUUGGCAUUUGCAUUAUUAAAGCAGUGAAUUACCGUCCAAGACUUUACAGACUGGCUUUGGUCUGAAAGGACUUUUACCUGCAGCUGGGCAUGAGUUGCUGACUGGAUGGGGUAUGGUUGGGUACUUUUUAUGGAUCCAAGGGGUACAUGGUAGCCCUGAGUCUAAGGCUGCUUUGAAUACAAAUAGUGCGUGAGCUAAGAAGGGACAGUGGCCACAGCUCUGGGAAGGCAGUGUUAGCAGUGACUCAAGCUCUGGGUGUGGAUUGAGAUGUAUUGGUGUGGGCUCUAGGAGGCUAUAUCAGCUGAGGUCUUUAUUUAAAAAGACUGUUCAAGUCCUCUAUAAUGAAUUGCAUCUGUGGUGCUGGUGUGCUCUGUGACAAGGGCUACUGAAUUUCCCGUGUUUUACUUUUCCCAUGUAGAGGGAAGUCACAGUCAAGUAGAUUCUUCUUGGUGCUUUCCUGUGCCAGAAUGCAAGAUGAGAUAAUACAGGAAAAAUGCUUUCUACACUUUUCUCUGUGGUCACCAUCAGUUUUUAUAUUCCACUGGGUUGCAUUAACUUCUUAAUUGCACUCCAGAGCUCUCCCAGAGCUAUUUUUGACAAUUAAUAUUUGUUUAAUCAUUCUUUGUGUGAGGGGGCAAGGGCUUGGACCUCCUAUUCUGCCAUGUUGCUGAAAUCACUCUCUCCUUUGUUCAUUUUAGAAGUCUUCAUAGGAGUUUAUCACAUAUGCCACCCACAUUUCUGUAUUUGUAAAAUACACUCUCCACUGAAUCAUUACAUGACUCAAGGGCUUGACUAUGUAUUUAAACUAUUUUAAACUCAAACUUUUUAAAUGCAAUUAUUACAAAGGGUGAUUGUUACCCAUGGUGGAUGUCAUCUAAAAUGUUUGUAAUAGAGAGUCGGUCAUUCCUGAGGCCUCUGCCCUAUUCUCUCUCAUCCCACUUUUUUUCCUCCUUCCUCCUAUGUCCUCUAUAGCACUAUAGAAGCCAGAGUUUCUCAGCUGAUACUGUGCUGUUCCCCAGAGCUAUAAGAAAGCUUAAGAUCAGCUGCGAUUUACUGAAGCAAUUAAAUUAAGUUAUUAUUUUCUGGAAGUAGCAUUAACCAGUACUAAAUAAGAUAAGAAAAUAUUUACAGAAGUUACAUUGAGCAUUCCUGGCAUUUAAGCGGUUUUUUUAGGAAGACGUUGCAUCGAGUUUUAAUAUUUUCCCCUAUCACUUGGUGGGGUUUUAUUUGUCCAAUGAUUUAAUAUCUGAUCCAAAACAAUUAUGACCUAAUUUAUAGCAAUAAAUCAAAAUUCUGUCAUGAUAUGCAGAAAUCAUGGUAAAGAGUAUGAGACAAGAUUCAAGAUGGUCAACUAGAUGCAGCCAAAAGGAACAUCUGUCACUGAGAGAAUACAUCAUCUGGAAGACUGGUGCACUCUGCAAAGAUCGUCAAAGGGAAAGUAUUGGAAUGGAUGGCCAGAUGACAGAGAUGCUGAGCUGAAGGAGGAGGAAGCUAGGAAAUCUGCAUGGGGCUGCUAUGCACAGGGACUCAUUCCUAGCCCCCAGUGACUCCUGGGGGAAGGGAUGAGUUAAACAGGUGAGGAGUGACCCACUCUCACCAAGGACCUGUGGUAACUUGGCAGCAGGAGACCCCAUGACCCUCACAGUCACUUGAUCUGGCAGGGAGAGUUGUUUAGAGAGGUGGUAGGGGGCAGGACUCCAGCCUGUGCAGAGCCCACAGGGUUUGAUAUGGGAACAUAUGCAGUGGAACAUGUCCAGGAAAACCAAUCCCCCAAGGCUCACCAUGCUCCUCUAGGAGAUUUUAGCCUUAUGGUAACUGUCAGAACUGGACAGAGCAGGGUGGUCUUGCCUGUAAGAUAGGGCCAAUCCUAUGUGAGCACACUCCAUCCUCUGACCUCCCUGGGGCACCCAGCCUGGCUGUGCCUGCUUGUAGUGAAGCAUUCAGGAACACUGCAGCUUCACUUCCAGUGGCACCCCACCCCAGCCAAUGAUGCUGCUGUCAUGGUGCCGCCGCUGCUGCUGCUGCUGACAUAUGCAAACAGGCACAGAUCCUACUGUUACCACCCUGACAAAGUGCUUUGGCUGGCCCCACCGAUCAUAGUGCUUUGCCCAGCAAUCAGGGAACAACUCAACCCCUCCAGAGCAGCAUGUUUCUAACCUCGAUGGGCCAGAGAAAAAAGCUAGGGGACCAAUACUAGCCCUCCAGAGUUAACACACAUAGCCUAGGAGUGCUGAGCUGAGCACUGACCCCCAAAAAUAUUCAGAAAUGAAGCCAGUAGACUGAACUUACCUUAUACCACAACAAAACCCCCAAGGGCAUCAAAGAAGAUAAAAUCAAAGAACUCAUCCAAAUAAUAGCAACUUCAAAGGUUGAAGGAGUAUCAG